rnacentral:rRNA from 1 species
UGGGGAAUUUUGGACAAUGGGCGCAAGCCUGAUCCAGCAAUGCCGCGUGCAGGACGAAGGCCUUCGGGUUGUAAACUGCUUUUGUACGGAACGAAAAGACUCCUUCUAAUAAAGGGGGUCCAUGACGGUACCGUAAGAAUAAGCACCGGCUAACUACGUGCCAGCAGCCGCGGUAAUACGUAGGGUGCGAGCGUUAAUCGGAAUUACUGGGCGUAAAGCGUGCGCAGGCGGUUUUGUAAGACAGUGGUGAAAUCCCCGGGCUCAACCUGGGAACUGCCAUUGUGACUGCAAAGCUAGAGUGCGGCAGAGGGGGAUGGAAUUCCGCGUGUAGCAGUGAAAUGCGUAGAUAUGCGGAGGAACACCGAUGGCGAAGGCAAUCCCCUGGGCCUGCACUGACGCUCAUGCACGAAAGCGUGGGGAGCAAACA